rnacentral:rRNA from 1 species
UGGGGAAUAUUGCACAAUGGGCGCAAGCCUGAUGCAGCCAUGCCGCGUGUGUGAAGAAGGCCUUCGGGUUGUAAAGCACUUUCAGCGAGGAGGAAGGGUAGUGUGUUAAUAGCACAUUGCAUUGACGUUACUCGCAGAAGAAGCACCGGCUAACUCCGUGCCAGCAGCCGCGGUAAUACGGAGGGUGCAAGCGUUAAUCGGAAUUACUGGGCGUAAAGCGCACGCAGGCGGUUUGUUAAGUCAGAUGUGAAAUCCCCGCGCUUAACGUGGGAACUGCAUUUGAAACUGGCAAGCUAGAGUCUUGUAGA